rnacentral:rRNA from 1 species
GUCUUUUUGUAUUUUUUAAAAAGUCUAACCUGCCCACUGAUAAUUAUUAAAUGGCCGCAGUAUACUAACUGUGCAAAGGUAGCAUAAUCAUUAGUCUUUUAAUUGAAGGCUGGUAUGAAUGGUUGGACGAGAUAUUAACUGUUUCAUAAUAAUUUAUAUUAGAAUUUUAUUUUUUAGUUAAAAAGCUAAAAUUUAUUUAAAAGACGAGAAGACCCUAUAAAUCUUUAUAUUUAUAUUAUUAUAAUUUUUUAGAUUAAUUUUAUUUUAAUAAUUUAUGAUAUUUUAUUGGGGUGAUAUUAAAAUUUAAUAAACUUUUAAUUUAUUUUUUACAUAAAUUAAUGAUAUUAUGAUCCGUUAUUAAUGAUUAAAAAAUUAAGUUACUUUAGGGAUAACAGCGUAAUUUUUUUGGAGAGUUCAUAUCGAUAAAAAAGAUUGCGACCUCGAUGUUGGAUUAAGAUAUAUUUUUAGGUGUAGCUGCUUAAAUUUUAAGUCUGUUCGACUUUUAAAUUCUUACGUG